GCUUCGUGGUGUAGUGGUCAGCACGCUCGACGCGUAACCGAGAGGUCCGUGGUUCGAUUCCCGGCGAGGGCG
rnacentral:tRNA from 1 species